rnacentral:lncRNA from 1 species
ACCACAUCCAGCCCUGGAGGCUGAUUCGAUGGAGCCGCAGGAGGGCUCCUUUGGGGACACGUUCAGAAAAGCCCCAAAGGGGCCCUGGAGGAGAGCACGUGGAUCCACACACUUUCCGGCACUGGCAAAGGAAGUAGAUGGCGAAGUUAUUUUUCUUUUGGUGAAGAGUGGAUGGUUUCAAAUAAAUCACUGCUUCAUCCCGCACCCUAAGACAACGCUCCAGAAAUGGGAGGUGUGGGCCUGCUUUGCAAGAGUUCCCCUGCUAAAAUAUUAGAGUUUGGACCGGAUGAUGUUAGAUGUUGUACCUAGUCCUGCUACGGAAGAGAACGCUUAUUGCAGAUCUGGCAGCUGACUCAAUGCAAAUGUUACCACCAACAGGAACCACAAAGAAACCUAGGUCUGUCCGGAGAUGUCAGGUCCUGGGAAUUACAGGAUUUGUCUGCCUCACCAAUAACAUAGUCGGUGUGAAAACAUUUUGUACAUGUACAUCAGACACGGCAAUGUUGUCAACGACUGGUAUUCUCUGUCCCCCCCCAUCCUCCCCAUCACCCCCAUGCUGCUGUUCCCCUAAUUUGUCUGGAAUCUGAGGUCAGCCUUGGGAAUAGCCCUGCUCCCCAGCCCUCACUCCCUUCCCCCCCAGCCCGCCCUGGGGAGAGACUGAUUUGCUUGCUAUGCUAUUCACCCUGGACAAGGAGAGCUUUCAUUUCCAAAGGGAAGAUGUUUUACUUCUCCCUGAAUUACAAUAAUGAAAUAUUUCUGGUAAACCUGGAAAUUAAAAUGCAGACAAUACAUGU